CCUACGGGAGGCAGCAGUGGGGAAUCUUGCGCAAUGGGCGAAAGCCUGACGCAGCCAUGCCGCGUGAAUGAUGAAGGUCUUAGGAUUGUAAAAUUCUUUCACCGGGGACGAUAAUGACGGUACCCGGAGAAGAAGCCCCGGCUAACUUCGUGCCAGCAGCCGCGGUAAUACGAAGGGGGCUAGCGUUGCUCGGAAUUACUGGGCGUAAAGGGAGCGUAGGCGGACAUUUAAGUCAGGGGUGAAAUCCCAGAGCUCAACUCUGGAACUGCCUUUGAUACUGGGUGUCUUGAGUGUGAUAGAGGUAUGUGGAACUCCGAGUGUAGAGGUGAAAUUCGUAGAUAUUCGGAAGAACACCAGUGGCGAAGGCGACAUACUGGAUCAUUACUGACGCUGAGGCUCGAAAGCGUGGGGAGCAAACAGGAUUAGAUACCCUGGUAGUCCACGCCGUAAACGAUGAUUGCUAGUUGUCGGGGUGUUUACAUCUCGGUGACGCAGCUAACGCAUUAAGCAAUCCGCCUGGGGAGUACGGUCGCAAGAUUAAAACUCAAAGGAAUUGACGG
rnacentral:rRNA from 1 species